rnacentral:rRNA from 1 species
CCUACGGGGGGCAGCAGUGGGGAAUAUUGGGCAAUGGAGGAAACUCUGACCCAGCGACGCCGCGUGAAUGAUGAAGGUCUUCGGAUUGUAAAGUUCUUUUCUAAGGGAAGUAGAAAGUGACGGUACCUUAGGAAUAAGCCUCGGCUAACUACGUGCCAGCAGCCGCGGUAAUCCGUAGGAGGCAAGCGUUAUCCGGAAUGACUGGGGGUAAAGGGGGCGUAGGUGGUUUGACAAGUUGGUAGCGUAACUCCGGGGCUCAACCUCGGCACUACUACCAAAACUGGCGGACUUGAGUGCAGGGAGCGCAAAUGGAAUUCCUAGUGUAGCGGUGGAAUGCGUAGAUAUUAGGAAGAACACCAGUGGCGAAGGCGAUUUGCUGGACUGUAACUGACACUGAGGCACGAAAGCGUGGGGAGCAAACAGGAUUAGAUACCCUUGUAGUC